AGUGAACGCUGGCGGUAGGCCUAACAAAUGCAAGUCAAACGGAAGCACAGUAAGAGCUUGCUCUUACGGGUGGCGAGUGGCGGACGGGAGAGGAAUACACCGGAAUCUACUUUUUCGUGGGGGAUAACGUAGGGAAACUUACGCCAAUACCGCAUAAGACCUACGGGUGAAAGCAGUGGAUCUUCGGACCUUGCGCGAUUGAAUGAGCCGAUGUCGGAUUAGCUAGUUGGCGGGGUAAAGGCCCACCAAGGCGACGAUCCGUAGCUGGUCUGAGAGGAUGAUCAGCCACACUGGAACUGAGACACCGUCCACACUCCUACGAGAGGCAGCAGUGGGGGAUAUUGGCCAAUGGGCGCAAGCCUAAUCCAGCCAUACCGCGUGGGUGAAGAAGGCCUUCGGGUUGUUAAGCCCUUUUGUUGGGAGAGAAAAGCAGCAGGUUAAUACCUCGCUGUUCUGACGGUGCCCAAAGAAUAAGCACCGGCUAGCUUCGUG
rnacentral:rRNA from 1 species